rnacentral:rRNA from 1 species
GACGAACGCUGGCGGCGUGCCUAAUACAUGCAAGUCGAACGGUCUUUUCUAUGGAAGCUUGCUUCCACUGAGAAGAUAGUGGCGAACGGGUGAGUAACACGUGGGUAACCUGCCCAUAAGAGGGGGAUAACAUCCGGAAACGGGUGCUAAUACCGCAUAGUUUUCUUGAUCGCAUGAUUGAGAAAGGAAAGACGGCCUUUGUGCUGUCGCUUAUGGAUGGACCCGCGGCGUAUUAGUUAGUUGGUGAGGUAACGGCUCACCAAGACGAUGAUACGUAGCCGACCUGAGAGGGUGAUCGGCCACAUUGGGACUGAGACACGGCCCAAACUCCUACGGGAGGCAGCAGUAGGGAAUCUUCCGCAAUGGACGAAAGUCUGACGGAGCAACGCCGCGUGAGUGAAGAAGGUUUUCGGAUCGUAAAACUCUGUUGUCAGAGAAGAACAAGUUGGAGAGUAACUGCUCCAGCCUUGACGGUAUCUGACCAGAAAGCC